rnacentral:tRNA from 1 species
GGCCUCAUAGCUCAGUUGGCUAGAGAGUUGGCUGUACGAAAGUCUUCCCUUGCUGACGUGGGUUCGAAUCCCUCCGAGGCCG